AUUGAACGCUGGCGGCAUGCCUUACACAUGCAAGUCGAACGGCAGCACGGGGGCAACCCUGGUGGCGAGUGGCGAACGGGUGAGUAAUGCAUCGGAACGUGUCCUCUUGUGGGGGAUAACCAGUCGAAAGAUUGGCUAAUACCGCAUGAGAUCGAGAGAUGAAAGCGGGGGACCCGAGGGUAACUUCGGGCCUCGCGCGAGAGGAGCGGCCGAUGCCGGAUUAGCUAGUUGGUGGGGUAAGAGCCUACCAAGGCGACGAUCCGUAGCUGGUCUGAGAGGACGACCAGCCACACUGGGACUGAGACACGGCCCAGACUCCUACGGGAGGCAGCAGUGGGGAAUUUUGGACAAUGGGGAAACCCUGAUCCAGCCAUGCCGCGUGAGUGAAGAAGGCCUCGGUUGUAAG
rnacentral:rRNA from 1 species